rnacentral:lncRNA from 1 species
CAUACCCUUUUAGGUAUGAAAAGGAAAAAAAGGAGAAGAACAUCUAUCUACUUUGAAAUAACUUCGGUACGUCAAGUGAAGGAACGCGAAGUGAAGAAAAUUUUACGGAUGAAGAGAAGGAUCUGUAGAAGUACAAGAUGAUUCCGUAAAAGAUCUGGAUGAAUUUAUGUAUAGGGACAAUGAUUAACAAGAUCAGAUGUCCCGAUCAUAGACCUUUACAUAAAGAUGCACCUGGACAAUGAAAGAUCCUUUCAUUAAAGGAGAUGAGAUCUCGAGUGAAGCACUUGUUCAAGGGAUCCCAAGAAGAGUCGAGAAAAGUUAAAAUAAUGAUUGUCAAAAAUCAUAACUUAAUCCUUAGAAAUCCAGCAGUUAAGGAAGAAGAUAAUGAAAAUGAUCGAACAACUUUGAUAGAUAAUGUCGAAAUUGUUACAAAAUCUUUGACUCAUGACUUCUUUGUAUGAGAUGGUUUGAGAUUCGAUCCCAGAUUUGAUUGCUCAGACCAGGAUUUCUCCCCAUUGCAGGAUUUUUAGCAAAAGAAUUCAAAUCUUUAUAUCCAUAUCUUGGGCAGAAAACAAGUGAAACAGAAAUUUACAGGCAAACAUCUCGUUCUUGGACUAUGCUUGUUUCUCGGGGAGGCCUUGCCAUUCAUUCGGAGGAAUUAUUGAAAAUUUCCCAACAAUUAGAAUAUAAAUUCCAAUAAUAUUCAUGAGGACGGCAUUGAAAAAAGAGUAAACGUUUUUAAAAGGCUGUGCAAAUGUAUUUAGUUCAUGAAUAGUACAAAAAAGUAUUUUAAUGAUUGAAAGAUUGUGUUUGAAUAUUAUUAUUAUUAAAUCUGGUAUCUUUACAAAAAUAAAUCAAUCACUAAGUGUGUGCCAAACGAG